rnacentral:rRNA from 1 species
ACGGUGUCUUCGGACACAGUGGCGGACGGGUGAGUAACGCGUGAGAAUCUGGCUUCAGGUCUGGGACAACCACUGGAAACGGUGGCUAAUACCGGAUGUGCCGUAAGGUGAAAGGUUAACUGCCUGAAGAUGAGCUCGCGUCUGAUUGGCUAGUUGGAAGUGUAAUGGACUCCCAAGGCGACGAUCAGUAGCUGGUCUGAGAGGACGAUCAGCCACACUGGGACUGAGACACGGCCCAGACUCCUACGGGAGGCAGCAGUGGGGAAUUUUCCGCAAUGGGCGAAAGCCUGACGGAGCAAUACCGCGUGAGGGAGGAAGGCUCUUGGGUCGUAAACCUCUUUUCUCAGGGAAGAACACAAUGACGGUACCUGAGGAAUAAGCAUCGGCUAACUCCGUGCCAGCAGCCGCGGUAAUACGGAGGAUGCAAGCGUUAUCCGGAAUGAUUGGGCGUAAAGCGUCCGCAGGUGGCUGUGUAAGUCUGCUGUUAAAGAGUGAGGCUCAACCUCAUAAGAGCAGUGGAAACUACAUAGCUAGAGUACGUUCGGGGCAGAGGGAAUUCCUGGUGUAGCGGUGAAAUGCGUAGAGAUCAGGAAGAACACCAGUGGCGAAGGCGCUCUGCUAGGCCGUAACUGACACUGAGGGACGAAAGCUAGGGGAGCGAAUGGGAUUAGAUACCCCAGUAGUCCUAGCCGUAAACGAUGGAUACUAG